rnacentral:lncRNA from 1 species
AGAUCAUCUCUCUACACUAACUGCCUAACUUUUGUUCUUGCUUCACUAGGAGGCAGAACUAGGAGGUCUGCAGCUGGUUAUUCUGAAAAACCUGGAGUUGCAGAGUAGCUCUGUAGACUGUCCUUUUGUAAAAGAAAUUGCCCCUGUGAAAGAAAUCUGCAUUAGAAAAGAGGGCUACUCCCAGGGACUUCGGAACCACCUUCAUUCACAUCACAGUUCCUCCCUCUUGCCCCUGUGAAAGAAAUCUGCAUUAGUAAAGAGGGCUGCUCCCAGAGUCUUCCACUACCUGGGAAACUGCGGAACAACCUUCAUUCACAUCACAGUUCCUCCCUCGCCUUCCCAGACUGUGUCCACCCCAGGAGUCCCCAAGCUCUGUCCCUUCCAGGAGCUCUGGUGCUGGGUAACAGCCAACUGACCCUUCUUCAGCUCACAUUUUGUGGACCUGCAGGGGAAGGGGCUCGGGCUGGAGAAGUCUCCAGUCAGAGGCAUGGAGUGUCCUCAGUGCCAGCAUGUCUCCCAGGAGGAGGCCCCCAAGUUCUGCAGCCAGUGUGGAMAGAGGCUGCCUCCUGCAACCCCCAGACCAGAGUCUGAGAACGACAGCUCCUUGGUGGCCCCGGCCCUGGAGGAAGAGAUGGAGUGUGGAAAAGUGCYGAAAGAAAAUGGGGACCUGCACUUGUCCCCAGGCUCCAGCGAUCGCCAGGAAAAUGCAGCUGAGCCCAGUUGUGACGACGGGACCUGGACUGUCCAAAGAGUGAGUGAUCUAUGCU